UGGGGAAUAUUGCACAAUGGGCGCAAGCCUGAUGCGGCCAUGCCGCGUGUGUGAAGAAGGCCUUCGGGUUGUAAAGCACUUUCAGCGGGGAGGAAGGCGAUAAGGUUAAUAACCUUGUCGAUUGACGUUACCCGCAGAAGAAGCACCGGCUAACUCCGUGCCAGCAGCCGCGGUAAUACGGAGGGUGCAAGCGUUAAUCGGAAUUACUGGGCGUAAAGCGCACGCAGGCGGUCUGUCAAGUCGGAUGUGAAAUCCCCGGGCUCAACCUGGGAACUGCAUUCGAAACUGGCAGGCUAGAGUCUUGUAGAGGGGGGUAGAAUUCCAGGUGUAGCGGUGAGAUGCGUAGAGAUCUGGAGGAAUACCGGUGGCGAAGGCGGCCCCCUGGACAAAGACUGACGCUCAGGUGCGAAAGCGUGGGGAGCAAACAGG
rnacentral:rRNA from 1 species